rnacentral:rRNA from 1 species
GACGAACGCUGGCGGCGUGCUUAACACAUGCAAGUCGAACGGAAAGGCCCUGCUUUUGUGGGGUGCUCGAGUGGCGAACGGGUGAGUAACACGUGAGUAACCUGCCCUUGACUUUGGGAUAACUUCAGGAAACUGGGGCUAAUACCGGAUAGGAGCUCCUGCUGCAUGGUGGGGGUUGGAAAGCUUCGGCGGUUGGGGAUGGACUGGCGGCUUAUCAGCUUGUUGGUGGGGUAGUGGCUUACCAAGGCUUUGACGGGUAGCCGGCCUGAGAGGGUGACCGGCCACAUUGGGACUGAGAUACGGCCCAGACUCCUACGGGAGGCAGCAGUGGGGAAUAUUGCACAAUGGGCGGAAGCCUGAUGCAGCAACGCCGCGUGCGGGAUGACGGCCUUCGUGUUGUAAACCGCUUUCGCCUGUGACGAAGCGUGAGUGACGGUAAUGGGUAAAGAAGCACCGGCUAACUACGUG